UACGUAGGGUGCAAGCGUUAAUCGGAAUUACUGGGCGUAAAGCGUGCGCAGGCGGUCUUUUAAGUCAGAUGUGAAAUCCCCGGGCUUAACCUGGGAACUGCGUUUGAAACUGAAAGGCUAGAGUGUGGCAGAGGGGGGUGGAAUUCCACGUGUAGCAGUGAAAUGCGUAGAGAUGUGGAGGAACACCGAUGGCGAAGGCAGCCCCCAGGGCUAACACUGACGCUCAUGCACGAAAGCGUGGGGAGCAAACAGG
rnacentral:rRNA from 1 species